rnacentral:rRNA from 1 species
UUGCUUUCUUUGCUGGCGACCGGCGCACGGGUGAGUAACACGUAUCCAACCUGCCCUUUACUCGGGGAUAGCCUUUCGAAAGAAAGAUUAAUACCCGAUGGGAUAAUUAUUCCGCAUGGUUUGAUUAUUAAAGGAUUCCGGUAAAGGAUGGGGAUGCGUUCCAUUAGGUUGUUGGUGAGGUAACGGCUCACCAAGCCUUCGAUGGAUAGGGGUUCUGAGAGGAAGGUCCCCCACAUUGGAACUGAGACACGGUCCAA